CCCAUGGUGGUCCAGUGAAUAGGACUCUACACUUCCACUGCAGAGGGUGUGGGUUCAAUUCCUGGCUGGGGAA
rnacentral:tRNA from 1 species